AGUUCUCUGCCAAGGGAAAGCCAGCAAUAGCCCAGCUAGAAAGCAAAGGAAGUUUGCCAGCAGUUUUCUUUCCCUUAGGAUUAGAUUUCCAGCUGCAGAAAUGGGAUGCAUAUACACUGAACAGAUUGCUGGCUAGGUACACAAAAGGACCCUGCUUUGUCUCCUGCACAAAAGUGAUGGCACUCAGCUCCCGACUGGCACUCACAGGAGAAAAGGAACAAGGUUAAGAAGUUUGGGAAGCCAAGGAGCCCAUGGACUGAAAAGGAUGGCAACAGGAGUAACACGCUCCUUCGUCAAUAAUGUGAUGCCAAGAAUACGUCGGAAACAGUGUACAACUUUCUCUCCUGCCAUGCGUAAAGGGUCCAAGACUCACUUCACUACAAGUGUUCCAUCAGCUUCUUAUUAAGCCAUACUCUCUUUGUAAGUCUGGAAAAUGUGGUGGCCGCUUUACCAACACUGUAAAAUGAUAAAUGGAAACUGCUGUUCCAGAUCAACAUUCAAGGUUUUACUUUUUUUCUGAACAGCCACAUGUCAACAUGCUAGAAAUUCAUUAUUUUUCUGAUCAGCAUCUUAUGUUGUGGGAACCUGGUACAUAGCACAACUAGGGAAGAUUUUGUGAAGAGGAGGUGGUUAUCACAUAUGGUAGUGAAGAAUACACAUUCCUGAGGAGCAUCGAUAAUUCAAAAGGUCUUGAUUAGAAAGAGCCAGUCAACUCCCUUCACAUCCUUUACAAGAUGUUCAUGAAUAUCCAUGUACAAGGAAAGAAUUUUGAUUGGAAUCAACCAGCUUCACAUCUUGGAAGCCCUCUGAUAAAAUGCGUAAAUAUUACUUUAAUCAAAAUCUAACUUUGCCA